rnacentral:sRNA from 1 species
UUUCCGUAGGUGAACCUGCGGAAGGAUCAUUGCAUCAUCGAUUCACGAUCGUCCAGGGCCGCUCCCUCGGGGAGCGGGUCGGCGGGGCGGAUCGGGGACGCUGGAAGGGGGGCUCUGCCUCUCUCCUCCUCGUCUCCGCUCCGCGUCGCCGCCCCGCUCCGCUUGGGUCCGCUCGCUCGCGCCCGGCCCUCGCUCGGCCUCGGGAAGCGCUUGCGGGCGGCGUCGGCCGCAUCCGACCCGUCCCGAAUUCGGCGAGAAAAACCCCCCUUUUCUUUUCGACCCAACGAAACGAAACUCGAAAACCGACCGUGCGUCGUGAGGCGAGCGCGACCCGAGAGGGCCCGCUCGCUUCCGCGCCUCAUCAAACCUAGAACAACUCUCAACGACGGAUGUCUAGGCUCCCGCAUCGAUGAAGAACGCAGCGAACCGCGAUACGUAGUGUGAAUUGCAGAGCCCGUGAAUCAUCGAAUCUUUGAACGCACAUUGCGCCCCGGACCUCGGUCUUGGGCAUGUCUGCCUCAGUGUCCCGCACAUCUGCACCCUCCUCUCCCUCUCCGCUCCGGAGGGGAGAGCGAGGGCGCGAUCUGGCCGUCUCGACCCUCUCGCGGGUCGCGUCGGCCGAAGCGGAGCGCGAUCCGGGCCGCGACCUCUUCGCGGCCGCUCUCGGAGCUUUGACGGUGGUCCUCGCGAUCUUCGACAAGCCAGCUCCUGGGGCGGUUCCGCUUUGGGGGGCGUCUGCAGUCCGGGUUCGCCCAAUGCCAGGAAACUCUUUCUCACAUUGGACCUGAGCUCAGGCAAGACUACCCGCUGAACUUAA